rnacentral:piRNA from 1 species
UGCGUUCCUAAAGGAAGACUUAAAGGC